CGAGUUGCCAUAUUUAUUGUUCUGUAUUAUUGAUUGUGAGUGUUUCUUUGAAUGCGGAUUGAAAAAUGGACGUUGACGAUUCGGCGGUUGAUCUGAGUGUCAGGUCUUUACCGCCAGAAAUAAGUGAGUUAAGAGCAUUAACGGCAAGUGGUUUAACAAUAACCCCAGCGCAGCCUCCACCACAUGGCGCCGGCGGCAAGCGGGUGCUGCGCCCACGUUCAGAACAGCGCAGCUAUGCAGAGAGUCCCGACAUUGUUCUGCUCCCAGCCGCUCCACCGCACAGGAAACCUACAAUACCUACAACACCUGCCCCUUUUACUGAUGUAAGCAGCAAAUUGAACUCAUCAGUGAACGUGUCAAUAACACCGAGCGUAUCCAUACCAGCACCCGAAUCGCCACGUGACCCUCGCGAUGACGAAGAGUCUGAAGACGAUGAGAACGAACCGCCUCUGUCCAUACCUGGACACAGAGAGCUAUCGAGUGCUGAAAUAUGGGAGCGCGAUCGUCGUCUACGUGCUCUCAGAGAGAAGCUGCGGGCUGAAGAAACUCGACUGGUCCUGUUGCGGAAGAUAAGGCAGUCCCAACAGGCCACGGGGCUGCCCCCCGCUAAGGAGAGUGGCGCGGGCACGGCGCUGGCGGGCAGCGGCUGCGUGGUGCCGCCCGGCGUGACGGUCACGCCCGCGCCGCCCCCCGCGCACCAGAACAAGCGGCCCGCCCCCCGCCCCGCCGCGCGCCCCGCUGCGCUGCCGGGCGGCGCCACGCUCACGCCGGGCUCGUACCGCGCGCCGCCGCAGGCCGCCGCCGUCACGCCCUCCGUCACCAUCACGCCCGCGCCGCCGCCGCCCUCGCACCACCAGCCCGCCAAGGCCAGCACGCGCAGUUCCGAAGACACCCAGACGCCGGCGCAGAGGCAGGCGGCCGCUAAACUGGCCCUACGGAAGCAACUAGAGAAGACGCUAUUGCAAAUCCCUCCCCCGAAGCCUCCGCCGCCCGAGAUGAACUUCAUCCCCUCCCCGAGCAACACGGACUUCGUGUACCUGGUGGGGCUCGAGCACGUCGUCGACUACUUGACAAACGAGGACCGCAUGCCGCGCUCGAGCGUGCCGGCGCUGUGCGCGCAGUGCGGGUGCGACUUCACGCCGGUGUGGCGCUGGGAGCGGCCGCCCGCGCGCCGCCAGGACGCCACGUUCUGCGUGUCGCCCGCGCCGCACGCGCGCCGCCUGUGCGAGCUCUGCGUCUCCGGGAACGUCAAGAGGGCGCUCAAGGCGGAGCACACGGCGCGGCUAAAGACUGCAUUCGUUCGCGCCUUGCAGCAGGAGCAGGAGAUCGAGCGGCGGCUGGCGGCCCCCUCCCCGCCGCCGCCCGCGCCCCCGCCCGCGCACGCGCCCGCCGCGCGCCCGCACCACGCGCCGCCCCCGCACGCCGACGCCGACGCGCGCGCGCCCCGCCCGCGUCCCCCGCCCCAGCAGGCGUCCCGCAGCGCGUCCCGCGGCAGCGUGCCGGCGCCGCCCUCCCCCGCCCCGCCGCCCGUCACCUCCACCACCAGGCCGUUGACGUCAUCGGAGUCGCUACGCAGCCACCACUCAGAACGCGGGAGCCGCGACUCUAGUGAGGUGGCUGCGAAAAAGAGUAAAAGUUCGUCUUCGAGUAGCACCACACAGGGCAGCACCAGCAAACAGCAUCAGCAACUGGCAGCCGCGGCCGCCGCGCAGAUGGCCUUCGAGCAGCAGAGCGCCGCCGCCAUGCAGGCUCUCCAGCAUCAGCUGCUCAGAGGUCUGAGCGGCGCGGGCGGGUCGGGCGGCAUGUCGGCGGCCGCGGCCAUGAUGCAGUUCACUCCGCUGCUGUACUCCUACCAGCUCGCCAUGGCGCAGGCCUCCGCGCUCGGCAAGAGAUCGGGCAAGGGCAGCUCGUCGGGCGGCAGUAACGCCGCCAUGGCCGCCGAGAUGCAACGCGUGGCCGAGGCGCAGCGCCAGUACCUGCUCGACUUGAUCCCGGGACAGCACGCGCGCAACCCCUGGACCAAGAACUGAACGGUAACGGAGCAGCUGAUGCACGAGAACACGACCGCCCUCUCACAUGUCCAAUGAAUCGAUAGUUCAUCGGAUUCAAAAAGCGGAUGCAUUUUAACAAUAUAAAAUAGAUAUCUUAAUUUUAAGAUAACUCUUAGGUUAAGACGAAGAAUUUUCGAAUGUUUUUCUAAUCAAUGUUUUGCACAAAAUAAGAAUAAAAACAAUUAAAUACGUAAGUAAUGCUUAGAUAAGUUAUCGGUUGACAGUGCUGUAUUAAAAAAAAAAUUACUAAGACGUGCCAGCCCUAAUUGAGAGCUUUCAUCUUUACUCAUGAAAAUCGUUUGGGUUUGGAAAAUAAAUACGCUGUACGUAUUUAUCAAUAAAGAGGAUAGUGUUGAAAAAAAUAUCGAUAUUAUAUCGAUGUUUAUGUUCUGUUCGAAAAAAAUCGAUGUUUUGAACAUUAUCGAUAUGCAAUCCAUGAGUGUUUGUGAAUUUGGACAGAUUCGUUAACAAUGUAACCGUUGAUUCUAUAAUUGCACCUCUAGAAUUAAAGUGGCUUAACUAACAUGUUUUAAGAAAAUGAGUUUUAUACUUUGAACGGCCAUUAAACAUGUCUAUGAGUUUAUUAAAACUAGAGGUCCCGCAGUAGUCGAAAUUCGACUAUAAUUAAUUGGAAUUGUAAGUUUGCACACUAUUAUGAUUGUAUUCUAUAUUUCUAUAAUCACAAAUUUCGCCAAGACUACACUAUAAAAAAUAUUAACAAAGACAAACAAUAUUUAAUCUCAAUUUGACAACAGACGUCAAGAACAAAAGUUUGACAAUAAAUAGUAUGCAUGCGUGUGUGCAUCAAAUACAUGGUAUGUAGUGUGUGUAACGUUUUCUUUAUUGAUUUAAUGUAUAUUUUAUGCAUUAUUUAAAAAAAAUAUUAGCAUUGUGCACUUCUUCUUUAUAUUCUCUAUAAGUGUGGAAAAUUUCAUACUCCUCCGUCCGUGCAAAUUUCGUAAAAAGGGAUACAAAGUUUUUGCUUCACAUAUUAAUAUAUAGAUUAAACAGCCCCUUUUAGUUUAGAAAAGAACGCUAAUACGCGUUAAAUGAAGCGCUUACCAAAGUAUUAUAAUUGAAAAACUAAAAUAUAAAAAAAAAACUUUAAUUAUUAUACAUUUUUGGUGUUUACCAAAAAAAAUAUUUUUUUGGAUAAGCCACAUCAAUUGUAAAGGUGCGUAAUGUUUUUCUUUUUAAACAUUUCAAAAAAUAUUUUACAUUCAAGUUCUCCAACAAGGAUACGGAUCAUGAAGCGAAACACUUUACACUUGUAGGGCAGGGCUACUACCCUUGCAUAUUAGUCAUGACUUCGAACCUCAAGGCGGGUGACGGUAUUCACGUUGUGAUGUCCAUGGACCGGUGACCAUUUAAUGCCGGGUGGAAAGUGAGCUCGCAGCUAAUUCGUAGACAAAAAAUUAUUAAAAUUAAUAUUCGAUUUUUUUUUAUAAAAUCAUCAAAAUAACAUUUAUUUUGUCUGUUUGUUCCGGCUAAUCUCUGGAACGGCUGGACCGAUUUUGACGAGACUUUCACUAAUAGAUCGCUGAUGGUAUAAAGAGUAACUUAGUCUACUUUUUUUUAGACUAGCUUCGUACCGCGGCGUCACAUGCGGUUCGAUAAUAACCGCGAUUAACAUCGCGGGAUUCAGCUAAUUGAACAUAAAGCCAAUGAAUGAAUUAUCGCACGUGUGCUCUAUAGUAGAAAUGUUUAAUUUUAGCGAAAACGAGAAAACUUGACUUUGGUAAUUAUAAUACUAGAUGAUGAAUUCCUCGGUAUUUUUUUUUUAUAAAUUGUGCUUUUUAGAAAUUCUAUUUAAAUACGAAUUACAUAUUGAUAAAAUGAUGAAAUAUUCCAAGAUCCUUUAGGCAUUUUUAAGUGAACACGUGAGUUAAAAAGACACAAAUAAUAUAAAUGAACAAUUCAUUUUCUUGGUCUAACCUUAAACCAAACACCCAUUGGCUUCGGGUGGCUUAACAACGCCAUCUGCUGAAGUAGCUUUAAUGUUAUUGUGUCUUUAAAGCAGUUAGUUGCUCUCAAUUAAGAAAAAUAGUAUUAUUAUUCGCCAAUAGAUGUCGAGAAGAGUCAUAAAGUUGAUUAUUGAAAAACACGAACAAAAUAACAUUUUCUUAAAAUAAAUCGUAGCUAGAUCCGACUUAUCGCCCCCGAAAUCCUCUUAUACUAAAUUUUAUGAAAAUCGUUUGGAGCCGUUUCCGAGAUCCAGAUUAUAUAUAUUUAUAUACAAGAAUUGCUCGUUUAAAGAUAUAAGAUUAGUGAGGUGACAGCUUGUCAUCGAUGGCGCUGCGAGCUCGCCGCGUCCGGUCCGACGUACCACUAACGUAAACAGCACUGUUCGUUUGUCCGUACGCGUGAAAGUCGAGAAAUGAUUUUUGUAUGAUUUUUAUUUAGUAUUAGGUAAAUAAAAGAGAUUUGUGAAAAUUAAA